AAUGAACGCUGGCGGCAGGCCUAACACAUGCAAGUCGAACGAGUGGCGGACGGGUGAGUAAUGUCUGGGAAACUGCCCGAUGGAGGGGGAUAACUACUGGAAACGGUAGCUAAUACCGCAUACCAUCGGAUGUGCCCAGAUGGGAUUAGCGAGUAGGUGGGGGAACGGCUCACCUAGGCGACGAUCCCUAGCUGGUCUGAGAGGAUGACCAGCCACACUGGAACUGAGACACGUGCCAGAAUCCUACGUGAGGCAGCAGUGGGGAAUAUUGAACAAUGGGCGAAAGCUUGAUGCAGCAAUGCCGCGUGUAUGAAGAAGGCCUUCGGGUUGUAAAGUACUGUCAGCGAGGAGGCGUUACUCGCAGAAAAAGCCACGGCGAACUCCGUGCCAGCAGCCGCGGUAAUAC
rnacentral:rRNA from 1 species